AGCGGUGAAUGAUUAUUUACAAUAGACAUGUAAAUGAAAAGGCUUACACAUGUGAAGGCUUACAAUAUUAUUUUAUAUAUUAUUUCAGCUCUGGUGCAGGGAUAAGCGAUCCUGCAUUGCAGAUCAAGGAAUGGUUAAAUGAUAUUAAAAUGAGCUCAUACAUUCCCCACUUCACCCAAGCCGGCUUCAACCAGCUCUCUGACCUCGCUGGAUUGCUGGACAGUGAUUUACAAGGUAUUGGGAUCAGUCUUAUUGGUCAUCGUAAUAAAAUGCUGCGUACAAUUCGUUCGUUGUCGAUUACUGAUCAGUCAAAGAAAACAGCUUGGAAACGCGCCCCGUCUUUGGUAGUCUAGACUCAAAACUUCAUGUAAGGUUCAGGAAUGGAACAGACUGGAUAAAAGACAAGGUUGCCCCUGUAAUAGUCUUGAUUCUAGCAGUGAUAUAAUUACAGCAUUAAUCCGUUAUGAAGGCAAUAGACACUUUGACUUGGGGACCGGUCAUUAUUUAUGGUGGGGUGUGGUACCAAAGAGAAAUGUUUUUCUUGGUAAAUGUUUUGCUUAUCCAACCAUUAAAAGGUCAAAAAAAUUUUUUUACCCAACCAUCAAUUAAAAAAUAAAGAUCUGCAUCCCUGGUCAAAAACAUUACAAAAGGAUACCAUUCAGUUGUCACACAUGUCCUUUACCACUUCUGUGACAUGAGUUUGAUAGCUGCUUGUGCAAUUUUCUGCAGUCUAAAGCUUCAUGUUGUCGGCACAUGUACUUUCUUUUGUGAAACCAUUUGCCUCCUGACAAAUCAGAAAAUGAUCAAGAUAGUGACUCGAUCUGAUUGUUUUGCAUAUUGUAGUAUCAUAUGACUGUUGACAUUGCUUUUUAGUCUUCAGUAUUUGAGUGAGUCAUGCUUUGGAAAUGACACUAAAUUUUUCUUACCCAACCCUUGAGUUACUUUAUUUUUCAUUUACCUAACGUUUUACUCACUCAAAAUUUUGUUUACCCAACCCUUUUCACUUCGGUGCCAACCCCCGCCAUAAAUAAUGACCCGUCCCUUAAUUAGUUUUAACAGUUCAUCGCAAUGCUAUGUAGGCCCUAAUUAGGACGUGAAAAUUUUAUUCCUAUUGAUUUUGUGUGUACAUAUAGCUGUAAUUUAAGGGUUGUUUCCGAAUUCAGUGAUUUUUUAAGCCUGAAUAUUUGUAAAGAGAAGAGAUUAAACAAAACCAUAUUAGAAACAGGAAACAAAAUCACUUAUGUUUAUGAAUUGAAACGACUAUAUGCGUAUAGGAUUGAGUGACUCUCACGAGGCUGUUAAAAUAUUGAUGCUUAAUAUUUGACUUACGAGAACAGAAUAACUUGAAAUAUUCAUUGAAUGAUCGACUACCAUCCUCCGAAAGGUCGUCCAGUACAUAUUAAUCAACAAUUACAGCACAGUGUUUCUUUAAGUAUUUGGGAAUAAGUUGGGAAUGCCGCCUGUUGAACACUUCGUGGAUAGUCCGUAUAGUAAAAGAAGGGACGAAGCAUAAUAGUUUUAUGAAUGUAAGCUAAGUAAGUGUGACUUAAAUAGUUUGUAAUUUUAAAUAUUUUAGAGAAUAAAUUGUGAAUAAAUUUUCGUGUUGAAC
rnacentral:lncRNA from 1 species